ensembl:lncRNA
GAUUGACUUCAGCAGGGCUGCAGUUAACAGCCUGAAACAUUUCUUUCCCAGUGCUGCUGGGUUGGGCUCUUCUCUUGGACUUACAAGCACCAGCAUUUCAGUAAAGGGUUUCUAUCCCCGUCUUUUAAAGUGUAUGCCUGCGCAGAUCCAGAAUGAGUUGUAUUAUCAUGCUGCCAUUUUCAGAAGGACACAAGAAAAGCCGAAUCCUCUUGUGGUUCCUACAGUUCCCUCAACACUAAAUACAGUCUGGAUCACUGUGUGUUUAGGGGGUGUCAGCAAGCCUUCUGCUCUGGAGGAAACAUGGAAAUGCUUAUGUGAUGUGCUGGUGCCAGGAUGUUGUGGAAUAUUCUCUCUCAGGACUUUAAUAAGCCAUAUUACAAUAACGAGUCAAGCAAACCAGCCUGUACUGCUGCUGGGUGUGAGAGCUGAGUCCUGCAGCUGGUGACUUGAUGUCUGGCUGCUGAAAAUCUCUCAGGUGACUCUUGUGUUCUGCAAUUAUUUUUGAGACUUGAAAGACCAUCAUAUGCAGGCAGCUUUGGGUCGCUGUUUCAAAUAAUUUUUAUACAGCAAAAUUUUUGAUUUCCAGUUUAUCCAAAAGAGCAGUUUGAAGAGAAGAAGGUAAUUGUGUUUAAGGAAGAAACCUGAAAACAAAUGCAACUGAUGGAAAGAACGAAACCCUUCUCUCUUUCAAAGGAGCGUGUUCACUUUGGCAUGUGUUAGUUGACCUUGAUACAAAGGAAGGGUGUCAAAGAAUGUACAUCCUCACAAAAGCAGAACAGAAAAAGGAGGAGUGGGGGAGGGAAGCAACCAUCUGAAGUCCAGACUCCUUCCAUCAGGAUUAAAAUCUACAGUUACUAGGGCAGGUAGGAAAUUGCAUCCAUGAGGAGGGAAGAAAUCAUGGUAAAAUGCACAACUGCUCUUGGCUGCGCCAACCUGCAGUGUGGCCCCAGCAGGGCAGUUGAAAGACUCGCUGAGGGGAGACUUCCAUGGUGUUUUGAGCAUGUGAGCAGUUACGGUGAGUCACUGCUGAGCUAAAACAGUGCCUAGCGAUGCCUCUGGGUUGAACCAUUUUGUAAGCCUCUAUAGUACAGACGUUAUUCUUCCUGUUUCUUCUCUUGGCAGCACUAACAUGUUGUGACAGUGAUGUUGCUGGCUCCUGCUAUUAAUCCAGCCUUCUCGGAGAUGUAAAAAUCACACUGUAUCUGGGGCGAGAUGGGCAGCCAGAUUAAUCCUUGUGUUGUAGUUAGCUUUUCUGAGUCAUGUCAUAAUAUGAUAGCUCUUGUGUGCAAGGGUUACAAACUGGGUGUGAUGUGACUGGGAGCUCCUUUUCCAUUGCAAUCCAGUGCUGGACCACAUCACCUUCUUAUACAAGAGGGACGUUUGUCUCAGUACACCUCUGAUUUUUCCAUGCAGUCAUGCAUUUCUGAUCCAUGCUUCAACUUCCUGCCUCAUCAAU